rnacentral:rRNA from 1 species
AACGAACGCUGGCGGCAGGCCUAAAACAUGCAAGUCGAACGCCCUAGCAAUAGGGAGUGGCGCACGGGUGAGUAACACGUGGGAAUGUGCCUUUUGGUACGGAACAACUUUUGGAAACGAAAGCUAAUACCGUAUGGUCCCUUCGGGGUAAAGAUUUAUCGCCAAAAGAGCAGCCCGCGUCUGAUUAGCUAGUUGGCGGGGUAAUGGCCCACCAAGGCGACGAUCAGUAGCUGGUCCGAGAGGACGAUCAGCCACACUGGGACUGAGACACGGCCCAGACUCCUACGGGAGGCAGCAGUUAGGAAUAUUGGACAAUGGGCGCAAGCCUGAUCCAGCCAUGCCGCGUGAGUGAUGAAGGCCUUCGGGUUGUAAAGCUCUUUAGUCCACGAAUAUAAUGACUGUAGUGGAAGAAUAAGCCCCGGCUAACUUCGUGCCAGCCGCCGCCGUAAAAC